GAUGAACGCUAGCGGCAGGCUUAAUACAUGCAAGUCGUGGGGCAGCAGGUUUGUAGCAAUACAGAUGCUGGCGACCGGCAAACGGGUGCGGAACACGUACAGAACCUUCCUUUGAGCGGGGAAUAGCCCAGAGAAAUUUGGAUUAAUACCCCAUAGUAUAAUGAAGUGGCAUCACUUUAUUAUUAAAGAUUUAUCACUCGAAGAUGGCUGUGCGGCUGAUUAGGUAGUUGGCGGGGUAAAGGCCCACCAAGCCUGCGAUCAGUAACUGGUGUGAGAGCACGACCAGUCACACGGGCACUGAGACACGGGCCCGACUCCUACGGGAGGCAGCAGUAAGGAAUAUUGGUCAAUGGAGGCAACUCUGAACCAGCCAUGCCGCGUGGAGGAUGAAGGUCCUCUGGAUUGUAAACUUCUUUAUAUGGGACGAAAAAAGGCUUUCUAAGUCGUCUGACGGUACCAUAUGAAUAAGCGCCGGCUAACUCCGUGCCAG
rnacentral:rRNA from 1 species